GCCGCCAUGGUGAAAUUGGUAGACACGCUGCUCUUAGGAAGCAGUGCUCAAGCAUCUCGGUUCGAAUCCGAGUGGC
rnacentral:tRNA from 1 species